AGCGCUUCCACAGCCCCCAGCGUGUCUCAAUCUACUGCGGGGGCUAGCAGUAACCACUGAUGCCCGCACCCACCCUCCCUACUUCACUGAUGCAGCGGCCAGGAGAUACCUGGCAAUACGCAGGAAAGCCCUGGCAACGCACAGGAGACCCCCUAGCAACACAUAUGAAACCCCUGGCAACGCACAGGAGACCCCUAGCAACGCGCAUGAAACCCCUGGCAACGCACAGGAGACCCCUAGCAAUGGGCCUGCAGCUUUAAAUAACGUCAGCAGUGUUGGAUUGUAAAGAAGAGAACAUCUACUAAAACCGGAAGAGUCUGACAUCCCGCCUGUAAUCCUCCCUAGGAAUGAGUAACCACCUUCAGGAGUCGUUAUUAGGAAGAUCGACGAAUGUCUGCAUUCCUGGGGCAGACAGAAAAACCAUACCAUUAAGUGAGAAAUAACAUGAAUCCUAAGCUUCAUCUGCGAGCAGUGAAAAA